rnacentral:rRNA from 1 species
UACGAAUGGAGCGAGCGUUGUUCGGAAUCACUGGGCUUAAAGCGUGCGUAGGCGGAUAAGAAAGUCAGGAGUGAAAUCCCAGGGCUUAACCUUGGAAUUGCUUUUGAAACUUCUUGUCUAGAGUCCGGGAGAGGAUAGCAGAAUUUCCAGUGUAGAGGUGAAAUUCGCAGAUAUUGGAAAGAAUACCAGUGGCGAAGGCGGCUAUCUGGACCGGUACUGACGCUGAGGCACGAAAGCAUGGGGAGCAAACAGG